GUCUGUAAGUGUAAAGUGUUAUCAUUAUUAUUGAUUUAGUGCUUUCAGAGGUUCAUAAAAUUUAAGAUUAUACAUCAAUAGAUAUGAGAAUUGAUACUGCAGUAUUGGCAAUGCUAGUAGCAUUGCAGCUUUGUUGAAAUAUUACAUAGAGCACAUGAAGACAACAUACUGACAUAUAUAUUUUAUGAUUUCGAAGAAAGGGGUAAACUUGACAACAAGCCUAAAUGGUAUAACAACUGGGAAAUUACUGACAUAUAUAAGCAUCAAGCGUUCGCUCUUGAUUGGAGUACUUCAGGGGAUUUAUCACUAUCAAGCAGAUUUGUAUCGUCCGCGAACAAUUUCGAAAAUAAUGUGGUGCUUCGAGCAAGAUCGUUGAUGAAUAUUAAAAAUAAAGUCGGUCCCAAGCACGAUCCCUGUGGGACUCCGUGGGUCACAGACUUGAAGAUUGGAACUACUCUCGCGAUUUUCAAUGAAGAUGGAAAUAUUCCCAACUGAAGUGAACUAUUGAAAAACUUUGUCAGACAUGGAGCUAUGAUAUCAGCAACAUACUUGAGAAAGCGGCUCUGGAUGUUGUCAGCCCCAACUGCCUUACCAUCCUUAAGACUUAUGAUUUCAGCUGUUAAUUCAUUCACUGUUGUGGGAUUCAGAAAUAUGGAAUUGCUUAUCCGCUUGUCAAGAUACUUUCUAAACCCCUCCAUGUCAUUGGGGAAUUGUUUAGAAAGAUUAGAUCCGACAGUGGAAAAGUACUGAUUGAAUUCUUGUGCAAUUGAAUGACUAUCAUUAAUAAUACUGCCAUUUUCCAGAUGAAUUUCGUCAAUAUUAUGCCUUAACUUGUUUUUAGAGGAUGCAAUUUGAUUCACAAUUCGCCAUGUAGACUUGGGGUUUCCCUUGUUUUCAGCAAUCAUAUUCUGGUAAUACAUUUGUUUCGCCAUAUCAAUGGUAUGUGUGAGUAAAUUGCGAUACUUUUUGAAAUAUGAGCACUGGGAACUAUUGCCCUUUAGGAAGUGGGAUUUAUACAUUUUAUGUCUUGAACGAAUACUAUUGAGUAUUCCUUUCGAUAUCCAUGGUUUAAGUUUAAUCUUUUUUUCGCGGCGUGACAAUUGUUUAAACGGAGCAUGGCGGUCAAUUAGAUGAACAAUAGAAUUUGUAAAUUCUUCAAAAUGACUAUUAAAAUUAUGGGCAUUCAAGUUAAAUGCAGCAAAGUGAUUAUUAAUUAUAUCUUGCAUGUCUGACCGAAACGCGUCAAUCGAAAAUGUAGACAUAUCCCUUCUAAAAAUAACAUCAUUUCUGAUUAAUGGUUUGAUGCCAUUAAGACUACACAUUAUUGGGAAAUGAUCAGUAAUAUCUGAUAAUAUAACAUGAGAAUCCAGUUUUAUAUGAGUCAUGUUUGUAUAUAAAUGAUCAAUUAGUGUAGCCGAAUUUUGUGUGACCCUGGUAGGUCUUGUAAUAAUAGAAAAGGUGUUAUGAGCAACAAACAUAUUGGUAUAAUUGGCAAUUUGGGUACUAUAUUUUGCUGCAAGUAGAUUGAUGUUAAAAUCUCCCACGAUCAUAAAAGGAUUUUUUGUUAAUUUUGUAAGGCAGUUCUCAAAUAUGCUGGUAAAAGUAGAAAUAUCGUUUUUUGGAUGUUUAUAUAUAAUACCAAUGCUCAAAUUAAUGUUAAUGCUUUGAAGGUUUAUUUCAAGCCAUAAUUCUUCACAAUUGGAGUAAUUUAGAUGAUAUUCAGUUGUCUCAGUAAAUUUAAUUUCAUUUCUAAUAAAAGCACCGACACCACCUGCUUUCGAAGCAGAAGGUGCGUGUAUAAAUCUAUAGCCAUCAAUGCUUAUAUAGUCAGAAUUAUUGUUUAAUUUUGUCUCACUUAUAGCUAUAAUAUGGGGUGAAGGGUUGAAAUUAGACAAAAGUGCAGAUAGCUGCCCAAUAUUCUUUCGAAUUGAGCGAAUAUUUAAAUGUAUGAUAGUUAAAUCCGAAUCAGUUCUAAUAUUUUUUAUAUCUGCCACUUCUAGGUUGCUGCAGUGGCAACCACUAAUUUGAUUUGGAGGUAUAAGACUGUUGGCACCAUUAUCACAAUGGUCUGAGAAAUUAUCAUAAUUAUUCGACAUUUACUUAUAUGGGAAAUAAGUAUUGGAAUUGCAAGGAAUAAUUAUCAAUAGAAUUAUAUAGAAAAAAAAUGUAUGUACAUAUAAAUAUAUAUAAAAUACAGAAACCUACUUUAUGAAAAGUA